rnacentral:rRNA from 1 species
GCGCACCAGGCGCGAAACCUCCGCAAUGCUCGAAAGAGCGACGGGGGGACUCCAAGUGCCUACGCUCAGCGUAGGCUGUUCCCGAGCCUAAAAAGCUCGGGGAGUAAGGGCUGGGUAAGACGGGUGCCAGCCGCCGCGGUAAUACCCGCAGCCCGAGUGGUGGCCGCUAUUAUUGGGCCUAAAGCGUCCGUAGCCGGCUCGGUAAAUGCCUGGGUAAAUCGUCUGGCCCAACCAGACGAAUUCCGGGUAGACUGCCGGGCUAGGGACCGGAGGAGGGAGAGGGUACUCCAGGGGUAGGGGUGAAAUCAGCAAGGUGAGUUGCUGAUGUAACUUGCCUUGCAAGUCACAAUCCUGUAAUCCCUGGAGGACCACCGGUGGCGAAGGCGCUCUCCUAGGACGGGUCCGACGGUGAGGGACGAAAGCCAGGGGAGCAAACCGGAUUAGAUACCCCCG